rnacentral:lncRNA from 1 species
GGUGUCUGUGGGGCAGAGGGGGCAUCUAUGGGGCCUGUUUCUAUGGGGUCUUGAUUUCUGUGGGUCGUUCUGUGGGUCUCUAUGGGGCCAGGGUGGGUCUCCGUGGGUCGCUAUGGGGCGGGGGGGGCAUCUAUGGGGCAGAGGGAGCAUCUAUGGGGCAGAGGGAGCAUCUAUGGGGCUCGUUUCUACGGGAUUUUUUUUCUGUGGGUCGUUCUGUGGGUUUCUAUGGGGCCAGGGUGGGUCUCCGUGGGUCGCUAUGGGGCAGAGGGGCAUCUAUGGGGCAGAGGGAGCGUCUAUGGGGCCCGUUAUUAUGGGUUUUUUAUCUAUGGGUCAUUUUGUGGGUCUCUAUGGGGCAGGGUGGGUCUCCGUGGGUCGCUAUGGGGCGGAGGGCGCAUCUAUGGGGCAGAGGGGGCAUCUAUGGGGCCCAUUUCUAUGGGGUUUUUCUCUGUGGGUCAUUCUGUGGGUCUCUAUGGGGCCAGGGUGGGUCUCCGUGGGUCGCUAUGGGGCAGAGCGGGCACUUGUGGGGCUGAGCCCCAUGGCGCCUCUCUGCCCCACAAGUGGAGGAGAUCCCGGAGGAGGAGGAGGAGGCGGCGGCCCCACCGCCGGGUGAGCACUUGUGGGGCGGAGCGCGCGCGGGGGGCGGCCCCACGGCGCCGGGACCCCUUGGUGUCGCGCUAUGGGGCGGGACCCACGAGCGGCGUCUGCCCCACAGCGCUGGAGGUGCCCGAGGAGCCCAGCCUGCCCCCGGAGCUCCCCCCUCCGCGGCGGCGCCGCGCCCCACGGCCGCCCCACUGGGACCCCCAAGUGCAGAUCCCGCAGCAGGAAUUCCGCCAGCAGCUGCUCGACCCCGGCGCCCGCUGCCGGCCCCUGGUGAGCCCCACAUCUAUGGGGCGGCCCCACAUCUGUGGGGCGGCCCCGCGCGCGCGUCCCUUCGAGGGGGGCGGCGACCCACGGCGCUAUGGGGCCGCCCCACAGGUGAUCCCGGAGCCGCCCCACAAGCGUCGCCGGAGCCCGGAGGAGCUCUUCCAGACCCCGAGCGCGGGCUGGCUGACCCCCGAGCUGUGGGAUCUGUGGGUCCGGGGCGCCCGCCCCACGGCGCCGGAGCUGCCCAGCGAGUUGGAGGUGAGCUGUGGGGCGCGCUGUGGGGCGCGCUUUGGGGCUGGGACCCACGGCUGCGCCCCACACAGGAGCCCAGGGAGCUGCUGGAGCCGAGCGUGGGGCUGCCGCCGUCCUCGGGUACGCUGUGGGGCGCUAUGGGGCGGCUGGGGGGGCGCUGGGGG